UGGGGGGCAUCUGGAAGCGGGGUAACGGCCCUGGGUUCGCACGUGGAGGUGGAGUGGGGACUCUCCCCAAAGCUAGAGGAAGAUGAAGCAACUGGGUCAUGAUUGUGUAUGUUAAAGAACAAAGAAAGGACUAUCAGAAACCAUAACUGGAGCACCAGUAUUUAACACAGCCCUGAAAGAACACAUUUUUACAGGAAGCAAAGAGGAUAUGGGGUUUAUCUCCCUUCCCUUUGAAUCUGGUUGGCCAUGAGACUUGUUUUGGCCUGGAGAUUGCAGAAGUAAUGUCAUAUGAGUCUGGGCCAACACCUCAAGAGACCUUGCAAUUUCCAGUUUUACCAUCUUGGGAUUUAGACACCAUGCUUAAGAAGCUUGGAAUUCUGGGAUUCUGGAUAAUGUGAGACAUGGAGAGAGAGAGAAGCCCAGCCAGUGUCCAACCGUCCCACUCACUAUGGCUGAGGCACGAAACGUGAAUGAAAUCACAUGGAUUCUCCAGCGCCAGCCAAGCUGUCCCAGUCAACCAAAUGGAGCAGAGAUAAACCAUCCCUG